AAUCCCAUUUUUUGAGCUGAAGCUGCAGUACUUUGGUAAUUUUUGAAAAAACGCAGCUACAUUUUCGUCAGAAAACUUGCUAGCUAUCUAAGGCCAGAACUGGAAUCUACCAUUCGGGAACAGAAGAUACUUCUGCUACAGAACUCGUCAACGAAGGAAAAGAACAGAAUCAUUCAGAAGAAAAAUAAGACUCUCUUUGGCGUGUAUCCUGUAUGUGGGAAAUAAUUAAACAAGAGGACUGGAAUGGAGUUGUCUCUACUGGAGCUGGAAGUUGCUCAAGCUGGUAAAUGAUGCCUCCUUCCAGGACUUUAUGGUGGCUGGACUGGAAGCAGCAGGUUAAAUGCCUUCACUGGGUGUCAUCUCAGGACUGUGGGGAAAGAAGGAGAAGACAAGCUUUGAUUAAAGACACGAAGGAGAGGACCCCAUCG